UAGGGUUUGAUCCUGGCUCAGAAUGAACGCUGGCGGUAGGCUUAACACAUGCAAGUCGAACGGAAACGAUAAAGAGCUUGCUCUUUAGGCGUCGAGUGGCGGACGGGUGAGUAACGCGUGGGAAUCUACCCUAUAGUUGGGGACAACAUAUGGAAACGUAUGCUAAUACCGAAUAAUCUCUACGGAGUAAAGGAGCCCACUUCCUGAAAGGUUUCGCUAUAGGAUGAGCCCGCGUUAGAUUAGCUAGUUGGUAAGGUAACGGCUUACCAAGGCCACGAUCUAUAGCUGGUUUGAGAGGAUGAUCAGCCACACUGGGACUGAGACACGGCCCAGACUCCUACGGGAGGCAGCAGUGGGGAAUAUUGCACAAUGGACGCAAGUCUGAUGCAGCCAUACCGCGUGUGUGAAGAAGGCCCGAGGGUUGUAAAGCACUUUCAAUAGAGAGGAAGAUUAAGUCGCUAAUACCUGCUUAGUUUGACGUUACCUAUAGAAGAAGCACCGGCUAACUCUGUGCCAGCAGCCGCGGU
rnacentral:rRNA from 1 species